rnacentral:lncRNA from 1 species
CACAAAUAUGUGCAGCACACAGCAAGGUCCUCCCUGUGACCGGCCGGUGUGGCUGUGUGCUGUCUGUCACCCCAGCGCCCUGGACCUCAGUCUGCAGAGAAGCAGCUGUGACAAGCACAGAAAGGCAGGCACUGGUGCCUCCUGUCGAAGCCCCCAAUGCACCAGCAGCCCUCGUGUUAAUUUAAGAAGUUGACUGAACAAUCUGGCACAGUCGCUGGAAACUGAAGAAGGUCGCUUGGAAAGGGUCCUGACCCACCCACCAUGUCAAGCAAUUAUUUUUCUGGACAGCUUCCUGAUGUCCCCAAGGAGAGAGAGAGCGUGACAGCCAGUGAGGGAAAGCAUGCCACAGGUCCCGCCUGCUAACCUGGCAGGAGGGUGCUUGCAACACCUAAUUUAUCAACGCUUGUUUUCCCUGCUGGAGCCAAGUACACAAAAUCACUCCGCCAACAGAGAAAGAGAAAGGGGAAGCCAUUCUUCACCUUUUUCAGUAAUGUAUUUUUGUUUUGGUCAAUUUCCCAGAUAAAUUAUGGUCUUGUCUCAUUGCUGCAUUGGUGGAAUUCUUGCUAGUGUUAUUUAGUACAUUUUAAAGCUGUGUGAAACCAAAAGGUACUUAAAAAAAAAAAAAAAAGGAAAGUUAACCAAAUUGAAGGGUAAAUUUUUUACAUUGUUCCACUGGCUCCAGUUGGAGCUUAAUCAUCACGACCCUUCCUUCAGUCCACAGCGCCUGCUUCAAGAUGCAGCAGAAGUCAAAAUUGCAAGAGUCUGGAUGUUUUGCUUUCGUGUAACUCAUUAGGCAUUUCCCCCUGUGCUAUGAUAAAUGUCUCUCUCAACCAGAAAUUUUAUCUCACCUGUGUAUGUCCCUAUUUCACUCUGCGGAAUCACUCUCAGGAAAUACAAGCUAAUGAUGUCUGUGGUUCUGAAAUUUCCUUGUUAUUAUUUGUUUAAGACAUUUUUUAAAAAAACCUGUGGACAGCUUAUUAAAAGGAUGCUGAGCAAUGAAAACAUUAUUAGACCAUAUUAUUGUUUAUUGUACCCAGAUGUCGUGCAUUUUACACAUCCCAAAGGAUUAGUAGUAAUGUUGGAUACCAAAAUCUUACUUUUCCUUGCAGAUAUUGAGACUAAAUUUUUCUCAUUAAAAACAAAACAUUUACACUGAACAAAUGGUGCGUGUCCGGGUGAAGCAUCAGGUCUCAAGAAGGCAACACUGCUCAAACGAGACUUAGGACAGAACUGGAGACCAAAACAAAGCUGAGGCUACUGUUGGAAAUACUGGUCUAAAAAAAGGAAGAGUGUGGUAUGCUUGUUUUUUAGUUUUAUAGAAUUUUCCAUUUGGAAAGGAGAGAAAUGCAUACAUCCAAGCUGAAAUAAACCAUUCUAGCAAACAUGCCGAGGAAUAAUUUUCAAGAAUGUUUUGUUUUUAAUGAAAAGGAAAGCAAAUCAAAGAAAACCUGGGUAAGUGUUAAAGAGUACUAAAUUUAUAGUAAGGUUCAGGCAAUCUGCCCACUGCAAUCAGAAAGGUUUGGGCUGUUAGUCAUUUAAGACACACAAUGGGAAAAUAAACAAAGAAGGAGGAAGGGGGAAUGGUAAACUGUAGUUUGGCAGCAAAAUUAGUCCAGCUAGUUCCAUUACAUAUUAAACCAUGUCACAAAGCAAAUAAUUGAAAUAAUGAGGAGCUCAUUUUUUAAAAGAUAUAUAGAGUAGCAUAACAGAAUCAACAAAAAUAAGACUGUUUUAUAUAACAAUUCAAUAGACAAUAAAUAAGCACUCCAUUUGGGGAAAAGAAUCACACAAUAAAUGAUGCUGGGAUGGCUUGUGAGUAAUUUGGAGAAAACUGAUCUAGAAUGAGAGCGAGUAUUCCACAUUCGCCACUCUCUUGUCUUUUGGCUUUCUAUCACCUUGGCCAAUGGAGGAAGACAGCAAAAAACAGGAAGGAGGAAGAGUAUGAAGGGAGUCAUUUCUCCCCGGCACUCCAUGCCAGGUUGCUCCAGAAGGCUGUGUCUCUGUCCUAAGGGCUACAGCUUGGCUUGGGCAGUCUUUCCAUACAACUCUCCAGGUUCGGGAAAUUGCUUACUCAUCUGCCCCUGCAAGUGCAGGGAUGACAAUCACUUCCAGCUGAGCUGAGCCCAGCAUGCUGCAUCAUUCUUUGUUGAUGUCCCUCAACUCCGCUGGCGCUAUCUUGAUUAUCCUUAGGCUUACCUCAGUUCCCCAGUCCUAGUGGGCCUUCUGGUUCCUCCUGGGGCACUGACUGAUCCAGGUGCCCUGGGGUUCAGUCGCUAAGUUUCAGCUUCCUAUGUGAUGGGGUUUGGUUCUGUCCUUGUCUAAAUCUCAUGUUGAAUUGUAAUCCCCAGUGCUGGAGGUGGGGCCUGGUGAGAGGUGACUGGAUCAUGGGGUGGAUUUCUCACGAAUAGUUUAGUGCCGUUCCGUUGGUGCUAUCCUCAUGAUAGUGAGUGAGUUCUUGCAAAAUCUGGUCAUUUAAAAGUGCUCCUGCUUUUGCCAUGUGAUGUGUGACAUGCGUACUCCCGCUUCACCUUCCACCACGAUUGUAAGUUUCCUGAGGCUUCCCCAGAAACUGAGCAGAUGCCAGUAUCAUGCUUCCUGUACAGCCUGAGGAUCCAUGAGCCAAUUAAACCUCUUUUCUCUAUAAAUUAUCCAGUCUCAGGUAUUUUUUAUAGCAAUGCAAGAACAGCCUAAUACUGUGCAAUUUCAGAAUCCCAAGUUUCUCUAUUUACCCAAGACCGGGGGGUGCUCCCGCGGCCUGAUUCAUGCUCACAGACAUGCAAA